UACGAAGGGGGGCUAGCGUUGCUCGGAAUGACUGGGCGUAAAGGGCGCGUAGGCGGUUUGUACAGUCAGGUGUGAAAUGCCCGGGCUCAACCUGGGGGCGGCACUUGAUACGUAUGGACUGGAGUGGGGAAGAGGGUCGUGGAAUUCCCAGUGUAGAGGUGAAAUUCGUAGAUAUUGGGAAGAACACCGGUGGCGAAGGCGGCGACCUGGUCCAUUACUGACGCUGAGGCGCGACAGCGUGGGGAGCAAACAGG
rnacentral:rRNA from 1 species